rnacentral:lncRNA from 1 species
AUAUUAAAUAAAAUUGAGAAUGGAAAUGGGGAAUGUGUCAAAGAGACAACAACCCGACCAAAUAAAAAACAACAGCAGAGGGUCACCAACAGGUCUUCAAUGUGGCGAGAAAUUCCUGCACCCGGAGGCGUCCUUCAGCUGGCCCCUAAACAAAUAUAUACUAGUCCAGUGAUAAUGAACGCCAUACUAAUUUCCAAAUUGUAC